rnacentral:rRNA from 1 species
GGCGAACGCUUGCGGCGUGCUUAACACAUGCAAGUCGAACGGAAAGGCCCUGCUUUUGUGGGGUGCUCGAGUGGCGAACGGGUGAGUAACACGUGAGUAACCUGCCCUUGACUUUGGGAUAACUUCAGGAAACUGGGGCUAAUACCGGAUAGGAGCUCCUGCUGCAUGGUGGGGGUUGGAAAGUUUCGGCGGUUGGGGAUGGACUCGCGGCUUAUCAGCUUGUUGGUGGGGUAGUGGCUUACCAAGGCUUUGACGGGUAGCCGGCCUGAGAGGGUGACCGGCCACAUUGGGACUGAGAUACGGCCCAGACUCCUACGGGAGGCAGCAGUGGGGAAUAUUGCACAAUGGGCGGAAGCCUGAUGCAGCAACGCCGCGUGCGGGAUGACGGCCUUCGGGUUGUAAACCGCUUUCGCCUGUGACGAAGCGUGAGUGACGGUAAUGGGUAAAGAAGCACCGGCUAACUACGUG